GUUGACGCNGGCGGCAGGCCUAACCAUGCAAGUCGAGCGGAAACGAGUUGUCUGAACCUUCGGGGAACGACAACGGCGUCGAGCGGCGGACGGGUGAGUAAUGCCUGGGAAAUUGCCCUGAUGUGGGGGAUAACCAUUGGAAACGAUGGCUAAUACCNGCAUAAUAGCUUCGGCUCAAAGAGGGGGACCUUCGGGCCUCUCGCNGUCAGGAUAUGCCCAGGUUGGGAUUAGCUAGUUGGUGAGGUAAUGGCUCACCAAGGCGACGAUCCCUAGCUGGUCUGAGAGGAUGAUNAUCUCACACUGNAACUGANACACNGUCCAUACUCCUACGGNCAGGCAGCANCGGGGAAUAUUGCACAAUGGGCAGCAAGCCUGAUGCANCCAUGCNNCGUGUAUGAAN
rnacentral:rRNA from 1 species